UAUAUCCGCCAGGGCUUAUCGGCACGUGUAAACCGCGUGACGCAUCGGAUCGGGUGGUAGUCUUCGCGAGUGGUACUACACGCGCGUCCGGACCGGCGUCCUGUGUGUAUGUUUACAGCCUUGCAGGAAAGCCCAUCAUCACGAUUUCCCGCGCCAUUUAAAACGAGAAAACACGUGGAGGAGGACCGUCCACCCCGUUCAAUAUAAUAUCGUUGUGUGUACAUUUGUUUGCGUAUAUUAUGACGGAAGAGAAGCAGGUCUCCCGCCCGGAAUCAUUUCGAGAAUAACAAUGAAGACGGUUUUAAUUCUAGCAUUGUACAGCGAGCCGAAGCUUUUAUUAACGUCCAAAGCUCUACGGGCUUUUAAUAUAUAUGUACGUGUAUGUGUGGGAUGGAUGAAAAGCCGAGGCAGCGGUCCCGGAAACAGAGAUGGAAAGAUAUGCAUUUUUAGAUGGGUCAAAGUAUCCUGUUUAAACCGAGGACAAAUAAAAAAAAGAAAAUCAAGAAUUGAUUGUGAUUUAAUAUAUUAUGGUGUAUUGGAAACGUAAUACAUUAGGAAUCACAUUGGACUUUUUUGGAUAUUCACAAUAUGAUCAAUACAUUAAGAUGGCGAUAUGUUGAACUGCCUUCAAUGUCACUUUUAUACAUUUUUGAGAACCGUCUGUUUUUCGCACAUUAUUGUUAUUGCAGCUCAGCUGUGGAGCCACACUCGUUCCUAUCACAAACAUAUAUCGUCUUAAACCAUUAACCAAUGUUUCAGGUAUAAAACAGCAGCUACACAGUACACAUACAGUCAAGGCGAAAACGAUGUUGUCACGUUGAUAUUAGUUUAAAAUUUAAAACUUUUGUUAUUAUGAACACCUAUAAUAUCGGAGUAUAUGAUGUGGUUAUAAAACAAUGUCUUGUAGUUUUGUGGAUAAGUUCAAUGUAUAGCGAAUCCAACCCAAUUAACAUUAUAUAAUAUAAAUAUAUUGUAUUGUUCCAAGACAAAAAGCGAUAAUAAAAUAUAUGUAAGAACCA